CCCUGAGAGGUUUUUAAUAGCAUGCUAAAGGGGAAGACACUAACGUGACCAGCUUUCGCAUUGUCCCUCAGCAUUUUAUGAGUUUGAAAUUUCUUCCUUUAUUAUCAUGGUUCUGACUAAAAUUCGAGAUCUAUCUAUAAAUGAAUCUUUCUCAUAUUCUUAAAUGGCAAUGUUUUUUUUCCCCCUUUUCAUCACAGAAUAUUGUGAAGUAGCAUGAUCAAAGUAUCUUGUGCUGAAGAAGCUUGUGAAUGCUGAGAUGUUAUUCAUAGGAGACAGAUGCUUUUGUUAUUGUUUUAAGAUGGCAAUAUGAGGAACUGCACAUAAGAUCCACUGGAAGAUUUAAGACUUUGAAAAUAUGUCUAUGCUCAUGUUUUGUUUUGUUUUUGUCUUUUGUUUUGUUUUGUUUUUGUCUUGUUUGUUUUGUUUUUCUGUAAUUGCAUCACAGUGAUCAGAGGCUGGAUUGCUAAGGUAUUUAACUAAGGAGUAGAAAACUGCAUUUAGGUACCCACAAACAUUUCUCUUCAAUACAAUUAUGAAAUUACUUCUCUUCAGACAGUGGUGGCACACUUGAGAGGCAGAUGCAGGAAGAUCUCUGUGAGUCCAAGACCAGCAUGGUCUAUAAAAUGAGUUCCAGGACAACCAAAGCUACAUGGAGAAGCUUUAUCUUUAAAAGCCAAAACAAACAAACAAACAAACAAACCACCACCACCAGCAAAAACAACCCCUCCCCAAGACCUCAAGAUUGGUCUGCUUUUAUUUUCAUGUCAAAGAAAAAUAAUAAGUAUCAUAGCAUUGACAUCUUCUGAAUUGGUGGUUCUAACAUUCAGGUAAUCUAGAUCGCUGUGGUUCUACUUUGUCAGUGAAACAUCAUCAAACCUGUCAUUUGCUUAUGGAGUACAAAGCCAUGUUACCUUUGACAUUACUAAAAGAAGAGUCCUCUUAGGAUCAUCAGUUCAUCAAGAAAGUCUUUGUUAAAUACCUUUGAACAAUAAUGCAUUCACAAUGCAUAUUAUCUUAUUAAAUGGUUCUAUUCACUAUUUAUUUUAAAUAUCUUCUUACCUGAAUCAAAUGCUAACACCUCUUAACAUUUUAGCUUAAUAAAAUAAGCCCUGGGUAAUAAGGCCAUAGACACUGCCAGGUUCUGUCAGCUGCUUCAAUGCCAGCUCUGUGGGAAAUGGAAAUUAUUAGAAGCACAGCCAGCUUGGUGGAGGAAAACUAAACAAAACUUGGAGAUUAGCUGACCCAUUGGCGUUGACUGUCUCAUCUCUAGGAUUAGAUAGGGACCAAAAUGAGAGACUCAAUAACGUUGGGGGUGGGGGGGAACUGGACAUGUUAAGAAAGCAUAGGAUUAAGUAUGAGAAACAUGAGUUUCUUCAGAAAUUGAACUGUAAGACAACAGCAGUUCCUCUUUGAUGUAGGCUUACUGCAGUGUUUGGGGUGAUAUGUGUGUGUGUGUGUGUGUGUGUGAAUCCUUAAGGAAUUAUCCGAUAGACUUUCACUGCACACUGAUGAAAAAAGGAAAUAAUGUACAGUCUGCAAAGCAACUCUAGCCAUUUUCGUGGUGAGUUGCUGGCUGUGGCUGCAGAAGCUUCUGAAGAAGUCAGAUGGUUUUCACAAGUUCUCUUGACACAUUUGAUGGAGGUAUUGGUGUAGUAGUUACCUUUCUCAAUGCUGUGACAAAAGGAAACGUAAGGAAUGGUUUAUUUCUGCUCCUGUUUUGGGUGUGUGAGUGUAAAGUCUAUUGUGGCAGAGGCAUGGAAAUGUCAGGAGGCAGAUAGUCCUGUCAUAUUCACAGUCAGGUAGCAGUCUGGACCACCAACCUAUAGUAUGGUGCUGCCCAUGUGCAGGGUAGCUCUUUUUCUUCCCUUCUUAAAUCUCUGUAAAUGCUGUCACAGACAUGCCCUGAGAUGUGUCCCCUGGGUGUUUCCAAAUCCUGCCAAGUUGACAGUGAUUAGACAUCAUACUUGGGAAUCUAAUAUUAGGGAUUCUUCCUGGUUUUAAUCAACUGGCUCAGACACUCACACACAGGGGGCUAGUAAGGGACUUAGAGAAUGUACCAAAAAGAAAAGGGUUCAUAGAUAUAUCAAAGCAUAGGAAUGAUAAUAUUGUAAACCAACCAUUAUCCACAAAUAUUUCAUCCAGUGUAGCAAGUGAAUGUUCUCAAAGCAUUUGUCCAAGGAAUUUUGGAAAUAUCAACCACUUUGGUCCACAGUGCAAACUAUACUGAGGCUGAUAGUGAAGAAUGACUUACAAACAAACAAACAAAUAAGCAAACAAACAAAAAACUUUUCCUGUGUGAAAAAUGAUCUGAGCUUAUAGACAUGGCUGCUGCCCAAUUUAUCUUUGAAGUUCCAGGACCUGACAUUUCUAGCACAUAAUAGGCCAGAACUCAAUAAAUACUUAUUGGAUGAAUAAAUAUUCAACUUGUAAGGUGGUAUGAAGUAAUAUGAUUACAAGGAGAAAGGACAACAUAAAUGUAUUAGGAAUAUCCGGAGACCAUAUCUUAAGCCAUGUAACAGAAUUGUGAUGACAGAAUACACGGAAAAUCAGGCACGUUAGCAUGGCAUGGAUGUGCACUUGCCCCUACAAAAUGAAUAGGUGAUUUUUCUUUAAAAACACACACACACACACACCCCAAAACAGAACAAAAGAUAAGUUUAGGGAGUGGAGAGGCUACUUAGUGGUUAAGAGCACAUGCCAUGCUGUUCUUGAAAUGUCUCUAACUCCAUCUCUCUACACUCACACCGUGCAACUCACAACCACUUAUAAUUCUAGUUUCUGGAACUCCAAGGUCCUCUUCUAGUCUCUUCAGGCUCCUGAAUAAAUGUGGUACAUUCCGACACACAGAUAAACACAUAAAAUAAAAACAAAGCUUUAAAAAAAAUAAAAACAAGUUUGAGGUUGAGUGCCAAUGGAUGUCCAAAGACUGCAUCAGAUCCCCUAACUUGCCGUUAGGCAUGGUUGUGAGAUGCCAUGUGGGUGCUGGGACCUGACCCAGAUCCCCUGCAAGAGCAGAGAGUAUUCUUAGCCACUGAGCCAUCACUCUAGCCACUAUGUUUCAUAUAUUUCAAUACACGAUCCUAUAGAAAUUAUCACAAGAGUUUCAGGAUUUUAAAUUUAUCAAAAUAAUAACUCCAUUCUAAGAUUAGGUAACUAGUUAAUAGAUCACAGCACAAAAGAUUAAUAAAAGGAAGAAAAUGUCAUAUCAAAAAAACCAUCUAGGAAACCAAGCCUAACAGCCUCAUAAUAUUACCAUAACCGUUUAAAAAUAUUUUGGUCUUUUCCAUCCGUAUGCAGCUAGCUUAGAAUCCCCCUUAAAAAUGAAAUACAGGAGCUGAAGUGACUGCUCAGUGGUUAAGGACACUCACUGCUCUUGCAGAGGAUCUGAGUUGGGUUCCAGUACCCACAUGGCAGCUCACAACCAUCCAUAACUGCAGUUUGGGGGAUACAGUCUUUGGACAUCCAUGGCACCAGUCAUGCAUAUGGUACACAUUCAUACAUGCAGACAAAACACUCGCAGAUGCAAGCAUAAAUAAAUCUAAAGCAAAAGGCAAAACAGCUACUGUCUCAUCUUCCACGAUGCUCUACAUGUGGG
rnacentral:lncRNA from 1 species